AUUGAACGCUGGCGGCAUGCCUUACACAUGCAAGUCGAACGGUAACAGGUCUUCGGAUGCUGACGAGUGGCGAACGGGUGAGUAAUACAUCGGAACGUGCCCAGACGUGGGGGAUAACGAGGCGAAAGCUUUGCUAAUACCGCAUACGAUCUAAGGAUGAAAGCAGGGGACCGCAAGGCCUUGCGCGUUUGGAGCGGCCGAUGGCAGAUUAGGUAGUUGGUGGGAUAAAAGCUUACCAAGCCGACGAUCUGUAGCUGGUCUGAGAGGACGACCAGCCACACUGGGACUGAGACACGGCCCAGACUCCUACGGGAGGCAGCAGUGGGGAAUUUUGGACAAUGGGCGAAAGCCUGAUCCAGCAAUGCCGCGUGCAGGAUGAAGGCCUUCGGGUUGUAAACUGCUUUUGUACGGAACGAAAAGGCUCUGGCUAAUACCUGGGGCACAUGACGGUACCGUAAGAAUAAGCACCGGUUAACUACGUG
rnacentral:rRNA from 1 species